rnacentral:lncRNA from 1 species
AAUUCUGGAUCAGCAAGCGAGGGGGAAAGACCGGACCGCUACGAUCCACCCCCUCCCUGCCCCCACCGCCCAUCCUAAAGCACCUUAUAUCGCGGAAACCACUCAGCCUCCUCUUUCCUCCGAGAACACGCGGAGCAGCCCCUGAAAACGCUUUGGUCCUCUGCAGGUUUGAGCAGAGCUAGCAGCUCUUUCGCCUUUGGAUUUCUAGGGCUAUGCCUAUAUGAAAUUCUUUAUUUCAUCGAUCAUUUCGAUUUUCAUGCGAGAACUCUUCAGUCUUGCAGUUUGCAGGAUUCUAAACCAAGAAGGGGUGGAGAUUGGAGAAUGCGGUUCUGGCGUGUGGUCUGAGGGAGGGGUUAGAUGGGUAAGGGCGCGCGGGAUGCGCAAAUCGCUGAGACUGCACAGAGGACAAUCUGAGGACUCGCUUUCAAGACUCCAUCUCAGGAAAACAUUUCUCUCGUCCUGACUGCAUCUUCUCACCUUCCGAAGCCGGGAUUGAGUUGGGAACUCCCCUGUCGCCCCGCACAUUGCAGGGGCUCCCCGAGCUCGAUUCUAUAGGUCCGGACGGCCGGUCACCUUGGCUCCCUAGAGUGAUUCCUCCCUCCUCCUGUCCCUCCUCUCCAGUCUCCCCCUCCUCCCUCCUGCUCUAAUUCUGCGCUUUGAUUCUGUUUUUCAGGGGGAGCGCUCUGGGGUCUCCGCACAAAACCUGCUUUUGAGCCCUUUGGCUUUCUUCAGGCGAGCGCAGUCCGUCCAUCCCCCUGGCCCACCCAGCCGCAAGGGAUGCUGUGAAAAGAGCCGCUGCUUGCCGCCUCCGGCCUGCCGUCCAGAGGGCUCCGCCCGUAGAGGUCAACUCCCCUCAUUCUUCUUCUUUCCAUCUUGCCCUCCCUCCGCCGAGCCCAGACUCGGAUCUCCUCCUGACUCCCGCCGCAGUCAGAGAGAGCGCAUCUGCUGCGCUGCCCUUAAAUCUACGCCCAGAGCGGGCUCAGACCCGAUCUCUGCUCUCCAGAGCCGGAGGAAGCCCGAGCAAGCAGCCUUUUCUCUUCGCAGUAAAAUCAUAGCCAGACCAGAUGGGCCCCAGCUCUCCCGGGACUCGGCAGGUGCUGUUGAGUUAAUUUUUCCGCAAUACAAAGAAGGAGGACCCAGCCGGCCUGGGAUUCUGAUCUUUUCCCAAAAUUUCCCAACCAAAAUCGGGCUAUCAAAGGCGUAUACGUGUGUUUGUCGGACAUACAAACAUGCAUGAUUAUAUUCGCUUUUUCUGCUAGAUCUCUGGCAACAGGGGAUGAGUGACAAAGGUUUCUGCAGCAGAACACUCAUGGUGUGGUCCUUAAAGACUUGCCUUUCCUUACAAAUGUCUUAGGACGGCAUUCAGGGCGAACCAACUCAGUUAAUUGCCUUCAGUAAAAUAACACGAUUACGAAAUUAGAUCUGUACCAGAGGGGUAA